AGUGAAAGAUCUGUGACUGACGUUCUUGCUUUAUCCACAGAAUAAGUACAGCAUGGGCAAGAGCAGCACAAGUUUCCCCACAUUGCCCCAUAAAUGUGCUACAGCUGUGUCUUGGAGGGACUACUCCAUUCUCUGCAGAGCCUGCCAACAGAGAUGCCAAUAAGUAGCCAUUGAGCAGUGCUUCUUGUAAAGUGAACAUCU
ensembl:misc_RNA